UGCUCGAGUGGCGAACGGGUGAGUAACACGUGAGUAACCGCCCUUGACUUUGGGAUAACUUCAGGAAACUGGGGCUAAUACCGGAUAGGAGCUCCUGCUGCAUGGUGGGGGUUGGAAAGUUUCGGCGGUUGGGGAUGGACUCGCGGCUUAUCAGCUUGUUGGUGGGGUAGUGGCUUACCAAGGCUUUGACGGGUAGCCGGCCUGAGAGGGUGACCGGCCACAUUGGGACUGAGAUACGGCCCAG
rnacentral:rRNA from 1 species